rnacentral:rRNA from 1 species
CAGCAGCCGCGGUAAUACCAGCGCCACGAGUGGCAACCGCGUUUAUGGGGCCUAAAGCGUCCGUAGCCGGUUCGGCAAAUCUCUUGUGAAAUCGUCAGGCUCAACCUGACGGCGCGCUUGAGACACUACCGUACUUGAGACCGGGAGGAGUCAGAGGUAUUUCAGGGGGAGCGGUAAAAUGUGAUAAUCCCUGAAGGAUCACCUAUGGCGAAGGCAUCUGACCAGAACGGAUCUGACGGUGAGGGACGAAGGCUAGGGGAGCGAUCCGGAUUAGAUACCCGAGUAGUCCUAGCAGUAAACGCUGCGAGCAAGAUGUUGCGCAUCUUAAGAGGAUGUGCAGUGUCGAAGCGAAGGCAUUAAGCUCGCCGCCUGGGAAGCACGGUCGCAAGACUGAAACUUUAAGGAAUUGGCGGGGGAGCACCACCAGGGGUGCGGCGUGCGGUUUAAUCUAACUCCACGCAGAGAACCUUACUAGAAGCGACGGCAGGAAGAAGGUCAGCUUGAAGAGCUUACCUGACGAGCCGAGAGGUAGUGCAUGG